rnacentral:misc_RNA from 1 species
CGCACAUUGCGCCCCCUGGCAUUCCGGGGGGCAUGCCCGUUCGAGCGUCAUUAAAUCCAAUCAAGCCUGGCUUGGUGUUGGGCGUCAGGACUGCCCUGCGCCCUAAUUUCACCGGCUGGCCGUUGCCCGUCUUAGCGUUGUGAUACACUUUUCGCUAGCGAUGGGGGCGGCUCAUGCCGUUAGAAUUCAAUUGAAUUUCAAUCGAAAUUCGACGAGGUUGACCUCGGAUCGGGUAGGAAUACCCGCUGAACUUAA